rnacentral:rRNA from 1 species
UCCACGCCCUAAACGAUGUCAACUAGGUGUGUGAGAGUCUAACUCUUGCGUAUCGAAGCUAACGCGAUAAGUUGACCGCCUGGGGAGUACGGUCGCAAGACUAAAACUCAAAUGAAUUGACGGGGGCCCGCACAAGCGGUGGAGCAUGUGGUUUAAUUCGAUGCAACGCGAAGAACCUUACCUGGCCUUGACAUGUACGGAAGGCUUUAGAGAUAGAGCUGUGCCGGGAACCG